UCAGCUUUAAAAUGAGUGGGGAGGUACUGGAGUGGAGAGAAGCAGCCUUUGGACUUCUUGGGAGGUUCUUGCUCAGGCAUAAAAACAAACGGUGGGCGAGGACUUCCUGGCCACCUGAGACCUGGCAAACAGGAAGAAUGUCCUGGACCGCACGGGUCGGGUGCCCUGGCCUGCGUCCCUGCUGCUCCGCUAGGAAGCCGAGGCCUAGGAGGGCCUUUCUCCCUUGAAUUCCAGCCCAGGAGCCUUCAGAACCAUGCGAAGCUAUGCAGUGACUACUUCAAAGGCCUGGUAGGUGCUACUGGCACUGGCUGCUCUUUCUGAUCUGAAGCCUCCGAUGUUUGCAGAGGAUGUAUCUUUCAUGCUGUGAGGACGACACGGAGGACCGGUUUCCAUUGUGAACAUUUUCUCUGGGAGGAAAAAUGGCUCUCCAGUUCAACAGAAAGAAGGAAGAGAAGGCAAUCAUACCAGAUGUAAGAGGACCAGGAAGAAAACCACCAGAGAUGGACAAUUAAAAGGAACACAAUGGAAUUGUUUUAAAAGUUGAUGUGCAGCUCUUAACAUGGAACCUGACAAAAGGGGGAAAGGUGUGGGGCAGAGAGCUGCUGAAGUUGGGGGAGGAGGGAGCGGUCAGGGUUUGGGAAGGAUCUAUGUUUUUGAUCAGAUCCGUUAACAAAAAACACCCUGAGAACAGGCGUGCCCACCGGUGCCAUGCAUACACACAGCUCAUGUGCCACUGAGGGGCAGGGCAGCCCUCGCUCCGGGCAGCUCUCACUCUGGACGCAACUCCACUCAGGUGGUCACACAAAACACCUUGCUGCCCGUCUCUGUGUCUCCUUGCGUCUCUAGGGCCUCUAGAUCCACCAGCAAUUUGACACAUCCCAUGUGCCCGCACUUGCAUGACCCAGAGGUCUAUGGGUUCUUUGCAAGAGGAGUGCUUCCAGUUUGCUUUACCUAUUUUUUCACUUGUGAUUUCCUCUUAAAGUAGUUCACCUCUGGUUUCCGUUUCUAUGUCGUUCUUCCAAAACAAUGAGGAUAUGUACAGCUGAUGAACUGUUCGUGUUUUUGCAUGGCAACUGUGGGUCAUCUUGGCCAAGGGUCAAAGAUAAACUUUACUAGGAAUUAUUUUACAUCGAUUCCCUCAGCAUCCUGAAUCACUGGCCACAUGCUACAUAUGGACCCUCACUAAGGUGGCCAGCACUGCACUUCUUCACAUACAAGGCUCUCUUCUUCAAGGUUUUCCACCUUUCAGCCCCAAGGGUUUCCAACAUUCACCUGUGCCUGCAUUUCCACAGUGUGGCAGUGAGAGCGAACACUCAAAUAUGCCCCUAAAAGUCUGCUUUCCUAACUCUGAGCUGGAGAGCAGUCAAUGUUCUUGAAGUGACAGAAAUGACUAGCUGCAAAAGAUGACACAUCUUUAAAGACAUCAGUAGUUCGGAAAAGUACUUUUAAAAAACCCCACUAAAUAGAAAUUAAAACACUGAGGUAGAAUUAGAAUCUUAAUUCAACUUUUUUUUCCUCCCUUUCCUAAGUUCUCUGUGGGAUAUACAAUUAACACGAGAGGAACAUAGCAAGGGUUUGAUGUCCUGUAACAUGCAAGCAUCUCUAUUUCAGCAUCGGGCCCAGCAAAGCCAAAUCGACCAAAAUCUCCAGGAAUCAAUGCCCCGAACAUCCAACAUCAAGAAUCAGUGAGUAUGUAGCUGCCCUCCUCUUGGAGGGAUGCCCCUGGCGAUGAAGGUGAACUGAACAAGCGGCUGUAAAAGUGUCUGUACAGCUGCAACCACUGGGGCAGCCUGUUAGCAUAAUGCUGUGACAACUCCAUCCACACAGUCUCAAGGUAGCCGUCAAUCAGGACGCAUCAUUUAAUCCAACAGCACUCGAAGGACUUUCUCCGACAACCCACAUGACAGCAUAUCUACAGCUCUAUUUAUAUCAGCGCCCAGUUGUGUUUACAAUGCUGUAGCAAUUAGAAAAGAUGCAACAGGCAGCAAUAUUAUGGAAAUUUUCAUUUUGCAGUAUUGCCCCGUAAAGUGUGAUCCUGCUUCACAGAGUCAGGCUAAAUGACAAAAGGCUAUUUUCUUCACUCUCCCAGCUCAGACAGCACUUCAUUUGCAGCUAUCUAUAAUUAGAUUAAUGGUGUAGUGCAGUACAAAGCAGGCCCACUUCACAUCAGAUAGCAUAUGAAUUAGGACAAACACUUAUUUCAAUUCCAGGCAGAGAAAGCAAUGACUGGGGUAUUUAGCAUACCCUUUAUGGUGGAAUGAGAUGUUAAUUGUGUACCAUUACCUCUAAACUGCUUGCUUGUUGUAUAAAUCACUGUGCUAAUUGAUGCAGAGAUAGAAAUGUAGCCACAGGCAAGAAAGCAAAGGAAUGACGGCUGAAGAUGCUGGAUAAAGGAUUAUCGAGUAAAACCAUAUGGAGAUGAGGUUCCUUUGAAACCUUUCCUUUCUGCCCAAGAGCAGGAUUUCUUAAAAGUACAGAAAAACUCUUGUGCAAGUAAAGAAAAUUUAAUUUUUCACAUUCCUUUUUGGAAACACCCACUUCUUUGAAAAGUUCCUCGCUGCCAGAAAUCUAAAUAAGAGGUAUGUGGAAUUAAUCUGAAUAUACACUUACAAAAACACGGGCUGCGUAGUUUUCAAAGUCAGAUCUCCCUAUCUGGGUUUUGGGCUCACGGGUUAAUAAGGAACACUUGUAAACUACCUGAAGCAGAUGUUUCUGACCCAUCUACAGGGCAAAAAUAAAUUCUUUCCCAAGACUUGGAGUUGUUCUUCUAGACCAAAACAAAACACAACACAAAACGCUGCUGGCCUAUGUCUGUUAUCGACUCCAAUUACGUAGAAGGAUUUAUUCAGGAUGUGAAUCCAACAGAACCAUUCUGAUCUGCCAUUGAAACAAUGAUUUUAACACCAUCACCAAAACGCUGAAAUUGGACUACUCCCGUUCAUGAUUUUAUAUCAAUAGUAAUGGAUUAGAGGAAAUCUUUUUUGGUUUCCCCCUAAAACUAGCACAACAUAAUAAACAAAAGCACAUCGAAAUUUAAAA